rnacentral:rRNA from 1 species
AUGAUGCAUUUUAUGCAUUUGGUGACCGAGGAACCUAUUAUAGCUGCAGUGGACUCAGAGGGGGAUGUUUGUCGGGAAAUUGCUCUCCCGGAAGGAAGGGAAGAAGCCAGGUCUGGUUAUACCUCAGUUGGAUACUCUCAGGGGAAAUUGCAUGCUUGGUAUAUGGUUCCUUAUUAUGACAACUCUCUGUGUGUGUACUUGAGGAUUAUGCUAGUGAAGUGUGGACCCUAA